AAUGAACAACAAGUAAUCCACUCAGUUGAAGAUGAACAUCAACACAAACCCAGAAUUUAAGACAAGAAUUGUUCUUUAUACAACAACAAUAAACCCAGAAUUUUAAUACAGGAACAUUCGAAGAGUGUAAAAUCUAUGAAUUUAUAACAGUAUCCAUGGCCACAAAAUGAAAUAGCAAUGAUGGCCCAAGUCUAAUUUUGCAUAAAAUUAAACAUUCCAACAAUUACCGUAAACAUUGUAGAAUUGAUUCCGCGGAAAUGGACCAUCAACAGGAGGUCGUUGCUUGCUGGAUUUUGAACAUCGAAACAAUCGAGGAUUUCCCAAGUCUAUCCAUUACUUUGGUGUUGACUCGCAUACUUCCGCUUCGCUUUCCGCCUUUUAAUCCUUUUGGUACUGAAACUGGCGGAGCAAUUGUUCUGCAAAAAUAGAAAUUAAACUUGCAAACAGAUUAAAUAUUAAACCACAGCCAACACCGAUAAUUUGUGAAAGGUUAGUUGCGAGUCCAUUGAUUAGAACGGAGACAGUGGCGGUGGUUGACGAAGAAGCCGUGAGAUGGACGUCACAGGUGAAGGUUGAAGGUGAGUUCUGGGCUUGGUAGCGGAAGUGGAAUCGGUGUAAGCGUCGCGGUUUUGAAGGUGUUAGGUGUUGCGAUUUGGGUUUAAAGGUGUUGGAAAAGGAUCGCGGAGGAGAGCGGUGGAGGGUUUCGUGUGAGGUUCCGUCAAAGGUAGAGAACGAUGGUGGAGAUGGGAAGAGGAAAAUGAAGGUUAAGCGGCGGUGGCGGCUUCACGGAAGAUGAAGGGCGAUUGAAGCGAUUUGGUGGCCGGUGAUGGAAGGAUUUAUGGAUUGUGACGGCAAUGGUGAUUUGGGUCGGUAGCGUGAGCUUGAGCGGAAGGUUUCGCCGGUGACGAAAAGGCGGAUGAAGGAAUUUCGGCUUGGGUUUUGUGGAUUUGAGAAUGAGAUGUGAAGGUGAGGGAGAGUGACUUGUGUGGAAGGGUUUUGUUUGAUGGUUUUUUGUGAGAGAGAUGAGUGAAUCCGAGAGUGAGGUUUUCUGUGUGAGAGUUGAGAGAGUGAAUGGAGUGUGAGCGUGAGAUGUGAGCGAGAGAAUAUCUUUUAUUACCUUUAUUUUUUGUCGUUUAUGUCGGUACGAGAGAGAGGAAUGGGGUCAGGUUGUUAGUAGUGGAGAGUGUUUUUGUAGUGCAGAGAGACGUUGGGAUAGUGAGAUUCUUAUCAUUUAUUUUUUGUUUUUUAAAAGAGAUAAGAGAAUCCAAUGCUAAUAAUAUAUACAUUAUUAAAUAACAAAUUAUUAAAGCAAAGCUAAUUAAUAUUUAAAAAAACCUAAAUAAUAUUUUAAAUAAACUAACUAUUAUUUAACUAAUGUUUUAAAACAAACUAAUAUUUACUUAAAUAAACUAAUAUCUACUUAAAAUAGCUAAUACUUAAAACAACUAAUUUAAUAUUUUUAAAAAAACUAUUCUAAUUUUUUUAAUAAAAUACCAACAAAAUAUUUGACCAGUUAUAAAAAUAAAGAAAAAACCGAGUACAAAUUUUAAUCGAAAAAAUUAAACCAGUCACACUAAAAUUGUCAGCAAAGAAACCAACUUAUUAAAAAUACAGUCUUUCCUUCGAUUCAACCGAUUUUUCUGUAUUCUCAAAUAAAUUCAUCCUGACCGACAUUUCAGGUAUUAUUCAUGAUGCAAAUGUAUGUCAUGUUAUGCAUAUGAUGUUAUAAUAAAAAUGAAAUCGAUUCUAUGAUAAUUUAAAUAUGCCCGGACAAAAUUGGGGUACGACANAGUCCAUUGAUUAGAACGGAGACAGUGGCGGUGGUUGACGAAGAAGCCGUGAGAUGGCCGUCACAGGUGAAGGUUGAAGGUGAGUUCUGGGCUUGGUAGCGGAAGUGGAAUCGGUGUAAGCGUCGCGGUUUUGAAGGUGUUAGGUGUUGCGAUUUGGGUUUAAAGGUGUUGGAAAAGGAUCGCGGAGGAGAGCGGUGGAGGGUUUCGUGUGAGGUUCCGUCAAAGGUAGAGAACGAUGGUGGAGAUGGGAAGAGGAAAAUGAAGGUUAAGCGGCGGUGGCGGCUUCACGGAAGAUGAAGGGCGAUUGAAGCGAUUUGGUGGCCGGUGAUGGAAGGAUUUAUGGAUUGUGACGGCAAUGGUGAUUUGGGUCGGUAGCGUGAGCUUGAGCGGAAGGUUUCGCCGGUGACGAAAAGGCGGAUGAAGGAAUUUCGGCUUGGGUUUUGUGGAUUUGAGAAUGAGAUGUGAAGGUGAGGGAGAGUGACUUGUGUGGAAGGGUUUUGUUUGAUGGUUUUUUG
rnacentral:lncRNA from 1 species